AGAAAUGUGAUAUCACUUAUCAUAUACUUCUGAUACAUUAAACCGGAAAGAGUUUAGCACAUUAUCAGUUUUGGCUGAAAUUAUAAAAUUUGUUGUUUGCAUAUUAUAAAUAGAGUAGCACCAAAAUAAGUCCGUAACUCAAGGUGUAGUGUAGCGCCCAAGAUGCGAUUCUAUCCCAAUCACGUGAUGAAUACAUGACCGGGGCACAAUUGCAUUUCGAGUGCAUAGCAAGGUGGAUAUCAUUACAACAUAUAUACCAUGUACUAAAUAGAUGAGAAUACAAGAUUAAAGGCUUACACUCGCCACAAGCUACAACAUGAAUACAAUAAUUCGUCAAUACAUAGCAAUCAUCAUACAGAAGAGCAGGAUCUGACUACGGAUCAAAUGAACGACAUCCACCCUGCUAAUCUCAGGCUCCCGACCCGAAACCUAUCCCUUGAUCGAAGAAGAAGAACUCCAAAAGCAAACAAGCAUCGCUCUCGCGUCAAAUCAUCGUUUAACCUGUACCUGCAACUGUUGUAGUAAUAAUCUGUGAGCCACGAGGACUCAGCAAUCCCAUUACCAUGGGUAUCAAGACUAGCAAAGCUUAAUGGGUAUGGAAUGGACAAGUGGUGAGGUUGCAGCAGCACUAAGCAUUAUAUGGUGGCUAACUCACGAGUACAAGAAUAAGAUGAGAAACUAAGCAACGGUUGCAAACUAGCAAUGAUCAAGAAGUGAUUCUGAACUACUUACGUUCAAUCAUAACCCUGCCGUGUUCUCUUCUCGAACUCACUCGAAAAGAGACGGUCAUGGUUACACACGUGGUUGGUGUAUUUUAAUUUGGGUCUAGUGUCAAGUUCUCUACAACCGGGUAUUAAAAAUUCCCAUCUGCCACAUAACCGCGGGCACGGCUCUCGAAAGUUUAAACCCUGCAGGGGUGUCCCAACUUAGUCCAUCACAAACUCUCAUGAUCAACGAAGGAAAAUCCUCCUCCCAGAACAACCCGAUCAAGCUUGGAAUCCCAGUUCACAAGACAUUUCAACAAUGGUAAAACAAGUCCAGCAAGACCUCCCGACGUGCCGACACCCUGAUAGUAGCCGCGCGUAUCUCGUCUCAGGCCACGACAGAUGAGCGACGCGUACAUGUGACAAUGCUCUAAUUUGGACCAGCACCAACAGCACUGGCCCCCCUGUAUUAUGUUGAAUAACGUACCUCAGGUAGCGCUAACUCCCUAUGCAUCAAAUUUAUUCUCAAGUUUAUUAUUAUAUUGGGCAAAUGGUAAAACCAAUGUUGGGCCUUGCUAGAGGAGUUUUAUUCAAAGCAAACUGUCAAGGGGGGCCCAUAAACACCGACCGUGUUAGGAACGCAAAAUCAAGGAACAUAACACCGGUAUGACGGAAACUAGGGCGGCAAGAGUGGAACAAAACACCAGGCAAAAGGCCAAGCCUUCCACCCUUUACCAAGUAUAUAGAUGCAUUAAUUAAAUAAGAGAUAUUGUGAUAUCCCAUGAUAUCCAUGUCCCAACAUGCAACAACCUGCAACUAGCAACGCUAUAAGAGGGGCUGAGCAAAGCGGUAACACAGCCAAACAACGGUUUGCUAGGAUGGAAAAGGUUAGAGGCUAUCAUGGCAAUUUGGGAGGCUUGAUAAACAACUAGUAGGUAGCGCGACAUAACGAUAGCAUCGACACAACUAGCAAAGCAAAGAUAGUAGUGAUAUCCAGGGUAACGGUCAUCUUGCCUGAAAUCCCGCUCAGAAGAAGAACGAGUCCAUGAAGUAGACGAACCAAUGUAGUCGAACAAAUCCUCACAAUCGCAAUGUUACCGGAACUAUCAAGAAGAAGCGACACCGGAAAGAAGCAAACAACAUGGUAAACAAAAAAGAAAAAUCAUGGCAUGAUGCACAAACAAGUAUGAUGCAUGUCCGGUUUAAAUAGGCAUGGCAUGGCAAAGUGCAACAAACAAUACUACAAAUUAAGUGGAGCUCAAUAUUUGCAUAUUGACGGAACUUCACAACAGUUAUUUAGUUCUCUCCCGUUUAAGCUACUCGUCAACAUUAAAUGUUGGUUAACAUGGCAAGAGGUGAAGCAUAAUUAAAACGACCUAUCUAGGCAAUUUAAAUGAGGCCGGAAACAACAAAUAACAAUUCUGGAAAAUCCCCAUAUAUAAUUUCGAAUUUUCUACUGUUUUGCCCUAUACAAAAUUUUAGAGUUGUUAGAGAUUCAAAGUAAGUGCACCAUGUUAAUCUAUGCAUUUUUCUACCCCAUUUACAUAUAAAGAACAUUUAAUUUGGAGAUAUGGUUAUUUAGUUAUGAAAUAAACCAUUUUAGCAUGACAAUUAUGCAAAUUAAUGCAAACAUCAAUUUAAAGGUUUUUAGCAUGCAUGAGGAUGACAUAUUCAAGUUGAUGCAAUUUUAUGAAAUUGUUAGUAUAAUAUGAUAUGAGGCAUUUGUCGCCAUGGCAGAAGGAAAAGGGUGCCACGGCGGCGAAACAGAAAUGGUGCCACGACGGUGAAAAUGGAAAUGGUGCCACGGCAACAUUCCGAUGAUCCGACAACUCAUUGAGAUGCUGGUGCAAAAGAGCAAGUGUGUGGAUGUGCGGAACAUGCUAGAGAUGGUGGGGUGAUCCUGGUAACCGGGUUCCCACGGGUCGAUGCAUAGCAAAUGAGGAGGACCGUGCAAUGACAAAUCGGACACGGUGCAAACACAAGCAUCUCAUACAACACACAUGCAUUCGUCCACGGGCGUUGUCUCGGGGUUAUACCUUUGAAGCGUGCAAGUUUCUGAACGGAUCAAGUUCGUUGAGGGAAGUAGUGGUACAUGACGACGGUAGAGGUGCUCGCGAUAUUGGCGACGGUAGUGGUACACGUUUUCUUGUCGAAAUCACGGAGGGGGUAGUCGUUCACUCGACGGCCUCCGGCGACGGUAGUCGUACACGAUUCAUAGACGUUCGAGUCAUCGAUAGACGAACUUGGCGAUCCAUGUAGUCAAACUUGGCGCAUCCGAAGGGUACUUGGUGAAUCCCCAUAGUCGUACACGGAUCGACCGUAGUGGAACUUGAUGCAUCGCCGUGUGUAUUAGUACUCGGUGUUACAUGUAGUCGAACUUGAGGUGGUCUUGGCGUCGGACUUGCGGAGUUGGACAGAAUCAUGGUGAGGUUCAGCUGCUACCCCAUGUAAGACAAAAACGAACCUCGGGAAGGAAGUUGAAGCAGCAAGCAGGGGCGUGGCGGCUGUUGUGGUGGCUUGCAAGCAGCGGCCAUGGAACUCUGUCGGUUGGCCACUGGAGGCUUGGACUCAAGCCUCUGCUCAAGCACGAGGUUGAGCGGGCAAGGUGCACAGGAGAAGGAGGCCAUACGAUGUGGUGGAGGCGAGAGAGAGAGACUACAGCAGGCUCCGGUGAGGCAGGGAACUCCGGCGAGACGACGAGGACCACAAGCGCAGGGAACAGGGGUGCCAUGGGGAUCGGGCGCAAGGUGGAGGGAGGCCAAGGCAUGGCACUGGCGUGGGGAGCUCCUCCCUAGUGUGAUGCGUGUGUGUGUGGCGGCGGUGUGGGAGGAUGAGAGGGAG
rnacentral:lncRNA from 1 species